rnacentral:snRNA from 1 species
AUACUAAGCUUUUAUUAUAUAAGAUGUAUUUUUGGAAUAGGGAGAUGGAAUAGGAGCUUGCUCCAUCCACUGCAUGCAUCAACCGGGUACUGCAGUACCUCCGGGAAUGGUGCACACACA